rnacentral:rRNA from 1 species
CAGUAGCCACGGUAAUACGGAGGGAGCUAGCGUUGUUCGGAAUUACUGGGCGUAAAGCGCGCGUAGGCGGUUACUCAAGUCAGAGGUGAAAGCCCGGGGCUCAACCCCGGAACUGCCUUUGAAACUAGGUGACUAGAAUCUUGGAGAGGUCAGUGGAAUUCCGAGUGUAGAGGUGAAAUUCGUAGAUAUUCGGAAGAACACCAGUGGCGAAGGCGACUGACUGGACAAGUAUUGACGCUGAUGUGCGAAAGCGUGGGGAGCAAACAGGAUUAGAUACCCCCGUAGUCCCUGUCUCUUAUAC